rnacentral:rRNA from 1 species
UACAGGGGGUGCAAACGUUUGCUCGGAAUUAUUGGGCGUAAAGCGCGCGUAGGCGGCUACUUAAGUCGGAUGUGAAAGCCCUUGGCUCAACUGAGGAAGUGCACCCGAAACUGAGUGGCUAGAGUACGAAAGAGGGUCGCGGAAUUCCCGGUGUAGAGGUGAAAUUCGUAGAUAUCGGGAGGAACACCGGUGGCGAAGGCGGCGACCUGGGUCGAUACUGACGCUGAUGCGCGAAAGCGUGGGGAGCAAACAGG